UUUUAGUUUAUUUAUUUUUCAUUUUGUUAUUUUGUUUUUAUGGGCUUAUCUACGUUCUCAGGUGACCCUUUCAGUAGAAAACAAAUUAGUUAUGCUUGUUACUUUCUUUUGCUUAUAUAUCCAGUUAAGAAAAGGAUAUAGAGCUUACAUACCAAAGAAAGAAAUCAUCAGCGAUGAAGGAAGGCUAUUACCAGUAGAGAUAUGAGAACACCGUGAAGAGUAAAAAAGAUUGUUUGAGGUCUUAGAAAGUUGGGGGCAAAGAGCACGAUGAAGUUAUCUGAUUCUGAACAACCAGCACGCUGUCAUUUUUAUUUAACUUUGAAUAUGUGCAGGAGCCGCGAGACAAAGGCUCUUUAUCGAUCUCCAGCACGAUCAGGGUCUCCACCUCCUCGUGACUCAACAGAAGGCCAAGAAAGCAAUCUCCAAGCCCAAAGGAAAAUGGUCGAACCCCUAUAAAGGAGAGGGAUUAUUACCCACCAACCAGGUCAGGGAGUCCAUGAGUCAAUAGUCGCUAUCCUUAAAAAUCUAAAGGCAAGUGUCGAAGUUGUCUGCAUCGUGAAAUAUACUCAGUGUCAAAUCCUAUGUGAAGAAUGCUAAAUAUAGGGAUCUUCCACUUUUGGGUCCUCCACAUGUUGCUCAUAAUUUACUUUUAUAGAACAGCUUUCUUGUUGGGUGGCCACUCUUUUGCUGUCUCGUACAAGUCACUCUGAGGUCGGAUUACUUGUGGAUAUGAUAUAAGCUCCAGUUUACAAGCUUUCUGUGAUUAA